GGCCCGACAGAGUUUGAUCAUGGCUCAGAACGAACGCUGGCGGCAGGCCUCAAACAUGCAAGUCUAGGGGGCGUAGCAAUACGUCACCGGCGGACGGGUGCAUAACACGUGGGAAUGUACUUACUGGUUCGGAACAACUCAGGGAAACUUGAGCUAAUACCGAAUGUGCCCGAAAGGGGAAAGAUUUAUCGCCAGUAAAUCAGCCCGCGUCCGAUUAGCUAGUUGGUGGGGUAAAGGCCCACCAAGGCAACGAUCGGUAGCUGUUCUGAGAGGAAGAUCAGCCACACUGGGACUGAGACACGGCCCAGACUCCUACGGGAGGCAGCAGUUGGGAAUCUUGGACAAUGGGGGAAACCCUGAUCCAGCCAUGCCGCGUGAGUGAUGAAGGCCUUAGGGUUGUAAACCUCUUUUUCCAGGGAAGAUAAUGACGGUACCUGGCGAAUAAGUCACGGCUAACUACGUGCCAGCAGCCGCGGUAAUA
rnacentral:rRNA from 1 species